rnacentral:rRNA from 1 species
UACGGAGGAUCCGAGCGUUAUCCGGAUUUAUUGGGUUUAAAGGGAGCGUAGGCGGGUUGUUAAGUCAGUUGUGAAAGUUUGCGGCUCAACCGUAAAAUUGCAGUUGAUACUGGCAUCCUUGAGUACAGUAGAGGUAGGCGGAAUUCGUGGUGUAGCGGUGAAAUGCUUAGAUAUCACGAAGAACUCCGAUUGCGAAGGCAGCCCGCUGGACUGUAACUGACGCUGAUGCUCGAAAGUGUGGGUAUCAAACAGG